rnacentral:tRNA from 1 species
GCUCCUGAAAGAUAAUAGUAAUCUAUUGGUCUUAGGAACCAAAACUCUUGGUGCAACUCCAAGCAUGAGCC